rnacentral:rRNA from 1 species
UACCGCUGGCGGCGGCUUAAAGAUGCAGUCGGCGGGGAAAGGUAGCUUGCUACUUAACCUAGCGGCGGACGGGUGAGUAGUGCUUAGGAAUCUGCCUAUUAGUGGGGGACAGCAUCUCGAAGGGGAUGCUAAUACCGCAUACGUCCUACGGGAGAAAGCAGGGGACCUUCGGGCCUUGCGCUAUUAGAUGAGCCUAAGUCGGAUUAGCUAGUUGGUGGGGUAAAGGCCUACCAAGGCGACGAUCUGUAGCGGGUCUGAGAGGAUGAUCCGCCACACUGGGACUGAGACACGGCCCAGACUCCUACGGGAGGCAGCAGUGGGGAAUAUUGGACAAUGGGGGGAACCCUGAUCCAGCCAUGCCGCGUGUGUGAAGAAGGCCUUUUGGUUGUAAAGCACUUUAAGCGAGGAGGAGGCUACCGAGAUUAAUACUCUUGGAUAGUGGACGUUACUCGCAGAAUAAGCACCGGCUAACUCUGUGCCAGCAGCCGCGGUAAUAA